rnacentral:rRNA from 1 species
GACGAACGCUGGCGGCGUGCCUAAUACAUGCAAGUAGGACGCAGUUGCGAACGGGUGAGUAACGCGUAGGUAACUACCUAUUAGAGGGGGAUAACGAUUGGAAACGAUAGCUAAUACCGCAUACUAGUAGAUGGACCUGCGUUGUAUUAGCUAGUAGGUAGGGUAAUGGCCUACCUAGGCAACGAUACAUAGCCGAACUGGGGGGGUGAUCGGCCCAACGGGGACGGAGACACGGACCAGAAACCGACGGGAGGCAGCAGUAGGGAAUCUUCGGCAAUGGGGGGAACUCUGACCGAGGAACGCCGCGUGAGUGAAGAAGGUUUUCGGAUCGUAAAGCUCUGUUGUUAAAGAAGCGGUACUUAACCAGAAAGGGACGGCUAACUACGUGCCAGCCGGCGCGGUAAUUC